rnacentral:tRNA from 2 species
GCUGUUGUAGCUCAGCGGUAGAGCACUUCCUUGGUAAGGAAGAGGUCGGCAGUUCAAUCCUGCUCAACAGCUCAA